GGGGGAGAAAGACAAGAAGAGAGACGCAGAGAGACAGACAGAUGGAGGAGAAGCAUGCAGCAGCAGAGAGGAGGAGAAACAAAGCGUGUUGACUGAGGAAGUGUGCAUGCCAUGCGGGCCAUGUGCUCAGCCUGAACUCUUCAUGAUACACAAGGUGGCAAAUACUGACGAUGGAGGCCUCCUGUCCUGCUGCUUGGCCAAUUCUGCACUCUUCCAAAAACACCAGUGAACAACCAUGUGUUCCCAAAGCCAUUUCAAGGAGAGAUGGACUCAGCUGUGUCUACAGAAGUGCAAAGUCUUUCCACCCAGGCAUGACCAAACUGGCCAGCUUCACGGUUCACGGCUCUGUGGCUGCUGUUGGUUGCUCAGUAGGCAGUGUAGAUCCUGUGUAGCAAUCAGCAGCUACAUCUGGCUACUGGGUCUCCGACGGUUCUGCCUACUUCCCGGUCAAGCAUACCCAUUCCACUCCCAUUGGCUGGUGACACAUUCCAAUCCUCUGAUUGGCUGCGAUGUCAGGGGGGCUCCAUCCUGUGACCCCACAGACAGGAUGUUCUCUGUGUCACAACUCCACAAGGGGCCCUUGUCAAGGCUUUGUGUGUGUGUGUGUGUGUGUGUGUGUUUUUUCACUUCUUCCUCUUCCACCAUUCUUCUUUUAAUUCUGCCUGUUUCUGCUUCUCUCUCACUCUCUCUCCCUCGCCCUCUGUGAGGUCGUCUUUGUAUUAAAUGUCCUUGGUAAGGCCUAUUAAAGUUAAACUAUAAAUGUUCUGUGACAGAAAUCUCAAGGAGUGAUUUUGUCAAAGGAAAAGUGUUAAUCGAUGCAUGUUCGAAACUUUUUUGAGAUGGCUUUGAGAUGAGGAGACGAACCUUUGCUUUGUCCUGAACCUGGCAUACAAUGUAGAUUUCUGUGUGGUUCAAUUCUACAGCUACAUUGUCUGCUGGGUUUCUGGCUAGCAAUAUAAGCGGCUCUUAUAUAAUUCUCCUGUGCUCAAAAAGGUAAGUAUUCAUCUAUUCUGUAAAUGUGCCUCAAAUGCCUGACCCUGACAAUUCAAUAAAAAAAUAUUUCACAUUAAUAUUACUACUGA